rnacentral:rRNA from 1 species
UACGAAGGGUGCAAGCGUUACUCGGAAUUACUGGGCGUAAAGCGUGCGUAGGUGGUUCGUUAAGUCUGUCGUGAAAGCCCCGGGCUCAACCUGGGAACGGCGAUGGAUACUGGCGGGCUAGAGUGCGGUAGAGGGUGGUGGAAUUCCCGGUGUAGCAGUGAAAUGCGUAGAUAUCGGGAGGAACACCGGUGGCGAAGGCGGCGACCUGGGUUGACAUUGACGCUGAGGCGCGAAAGCGUGGGGAGCAAACAGG